rnacentral:rRNA from 1 species
GAAUAUUGGACAAUGGGCGAAAGCCUGACCCAGCCAUGCCGCGUGUGUGAAGAAGGUCUUCGGAUUGUAAAGCACUUUAAGUUGGGAGGAAGGGCAGUAAGCGAAUACCUUGCUGUUUUGACGUUACCGCCAGAAUAAGCACCGGCUAACUCUUUGACGACGACCGCGGUAAUACAGAGGGUGCAAUCGUUAAUCGGAAUUACUGGGGGUAAAGCGCGCGUAGGUGGUUCGUUAAGUUGGAUGUGAAAUCCCCGGGCUCAACCUGGGAACUGCAUCCAAAACUGGCGAGCUAGAGUAGGGCAGAGGGUGGUGGAAUUUCCUGUGUAGCGGUGAAAUGCGUAGAUAUAGGAAGGAACACCAGUGGCGAAGGCGACCACCUGGGCUCAUACUGACACUGAGGUGCGAAAGCGUGGGGAGCAAACAGG